rnacentral:rRNA from 1 species
UACGAAGGGGGCUAGCGUUGUUCGGAAUCACUGGGCGUAAAGCGCACGCAGGCGGAUUGAUAAGUCGGGGGUGAAAUCCCGGGGCUCAACCUCGGAAUUGCCUUCGAUACUGUCUGUCUUGAGUCCGGGAGAGGUGAGUGGAAUUCCUAGUGUAGAGGUGAAAUUCGUAGAUAUUAGGAAGAACACCAGUGGCGAAGGCGGCUCACUGGCCCGGUACUGACGCUCAUGUGCGAAAGCGUGGGGAGC